AUUGAACGCUGGCGGCAGGCCUAACACAUGCAAGUCGAGCGAGCGGCGGACGGGUGAGUAAUGUAUGGGGACUGCCCGAUCGAGGGGGAUAACUACUGGAAACGGUGGCUAAUACCGCAUACUAUCGGAUAACCCAUCGUGGAUUAGCUAGUCGGUGGGGUAAAGGCUCACCUAGGCGACGAUCCCUAGCUGGUCUGAGAGGAUGAUCGGCCACACUGGGACUGAGACACGGCCCAGACUCCUACGGAGGCAGCAGUGGGGAAUAUUGCGCAAUGGGCGCAAGCCUGAUGCAGCCAUGCCGCGUGUAUGAAGAAGGCCUUAGGGUUGUAAAGUACUUUCAUCGGGGAGGCGUUACCCAAAGAAGAAGCACCGGCUAACUCCGUGCCAGCAGCCGCGGUAAUUC
rnacentral:rRNA from 1 species